rnacentral:rRNA from 1 species
GUUGUCUGACAAGGCAAUGCUGGGUAGCCACGCCCUGACGGAUAAGAGCUGAAAGCAUCUAAGCUCGAAGCCACCCCAAAGACGAAACACCUCAGAACGCUCGUAAAAGACGAGAUGAUAGACUGCGGAUGUAAGCAUGAA